rnacentral:rRNA from 1 species
CCUGAGUACGACGGAGCACGUGAAAUUCCGUCGGAAUCUGGGAGGACCAUCUCCUAAGGCUAAAUACUCUCUAGUGACCGAUAGUGAACCAGUACCGUGAGGGAAAGGUGAAAAGUACCCCGGAAGGGGAGUGAAAGAGAACUUGAAACCGUGUGCUUACAAGUAGUCAGAGCCCGUUAAUGGGUGAUGGCGUGCCUUUUGUAGAAUGAACCGGCGAGUUACGAUCUGAUGCAAGGUUAAGCAGAAAAUGUGGAGCCGUAGCGAAAGCGAGUCUGAAUAGGGCGAAUGAGUAUUUGGUCGUAGACCCGAAACCAGGUGAUCUACCCUUGGUCAGGUUGAAGUUCAGGUAACACUGAAUGGAGGACCGAACCGACUUACGUUGAAAAGUGAGCGGAUGAACUGAGGGUAGCGGAGAAAUUCCAAUCGAACUUGGAGAUAGCUGGUUCUCUCCGAAAUAGCUUUAGGGCUAGCCUCAAGUGAUGAUUAUUGGAGGUAGAGCACUGUUUGGACGAGGGGCCCCUCUCGGGUUACCGAAUUCAGACAAACUCCGAAUGCCAAAUAAUUUAACUUGGGAGUCAGAAUGUGGGUGAUAAGGUCCAUAUUCGAAAGGGAAACAGCCCAGACCACCAGCUAAGGUCCCAAAAUAUAUGUUAAGUGGAAAAGGAUGUGGCGUUGCCCAGACAACUAGGAUGUUGGCUUAGAAGCAGCCAUCAUUUAAAGAGUGCGUAAUAGCUCACUAGUCGAGUGACACUGCGCCGAAAAUGUACCGGGGCUAAACAUAUUACCG